GACGUAGGGCGCGAGCGUUGUCCGGAUUUAUUGGGCGUAAAGAGCUCGUAGGCGGCUUGUUGCGUCGACUGUGAAAACCUGCGGCUCAACCGUGUGGUCUGCAGUCGAUACGGGCAGGCUGGAGUUCGGUAGGGGAGACUGGAAUUCCUGGUGUAGCGGUGAAAUGCGCAGAUAUCAGGAAGAACACCCGUGGCGAAGGCGGUUCUCUGGGACGGUACUGACGCUGAGACGCGAAAGCGUGGGGAGCGAACAGG
rnacentral:rRNA from 1 species